CCAAGUUUGGCAAGUUUAUUAAAAUGAUAGUUAGUAUAAGCAAAGCUAAGGAACAUAAUUCAUUAAUUUUAUUUGUCAUGCAGGAUGAACUCAGUUAUAUACCCUGUAAUGGGAGAUGCUCAUAGUAAGCAGAAAGGGUUUAUUUAUUUCAAAUCUGUCGAGUUUGUUCCUGUGUGGCUGCAAGGGUGGGUGGGAAAAGGACGAGUAAUUCGAAAAUGUCUGUAACGAUAUUCCUAGAAAUCCGACAGUUUAUCUUUUGGGGAAAAAAUACUAGCCUAUGAGCCACUCAGUGAAAAGACUGGUUUGACCAUUACAUUUUUUUUUUUGUUCAAUCUUCCAAAAAUUAAAUUUGGCUUCAAGUCUUUUUAGAAAUCACGAAUGACGUACAAAAGAAUGAACACGGUUUCAGCGGGGAUGCCUUGGAAAAAUAGACAACAUGUCACAAUGCCCUAAUGGACACUUCUUACUCUGAUGUUUCUAUAGUAUCUAGGAUACAAUACCCUGCAAAACACUCUUUACUCUCGUACGUCUAGAGCAGUGGUUCCCAAACCUUUUUCUCUAACUAACACUUCGCACGUUCUAGUAUUUAGCAGAACAUUUUGCUUUUUUUUUUUAGAGAGAUUAAUUCGCGUGGUGGUCUACUAGCUUAUUAUUCCAAUAGUUCGUGGAACACCUAGUCAGACCUCACGGAACACUAAACCCAGUAUCAUUCAUAGGACAGUCCAGUACAUGUGUCAUAUAACUAUGAAACCAUCUUUAAAGCGUUUUUUCUAAAUACUUAUUGGGGGGGGGGGGGGUGUUUUG